AGGAGAACAGGGUUGGGGAUCAAUGAAGCAGGGGCAGGGCAGACAGCAGAAUCCCUCAUUCUCCAAAUGCUGACAGAUUUCAGUUUAACCUCAGGAUCUCCACUGACCAGAUCUCUGCAAUGACCAUUAGGAAAUCCUUAUUUGCCUCCAGCUCUGUGCCAUCCUUCUUGUCAUACCACGAGGACACUUACUCAGUGCUCUCCAUCACCUUGUGAUCUGGGGAAGGACACUGCCAUCCAUGGAGGUCUGAUAUCUGCAGAGGUCCAGUGAAAGGCAACUAAAUAAUUCAGUGCCAGACAGCAGCAUCGAUGCAGCUGGAGCUGUGGAUGGACUUUCACUCAACUUACAGCGUGGCCACCAGCACAAAGGUUGGCCAGGAACAUGGUGUCCACAGCACCCAGCAGCCUGGAGCCUUCCUCCAUCUCACUCCUCACUUUGCAGAGGUGCAGUUCACUGUCCUUGGAGAUGACCAUGGGUAUAUUCACUGACCUGCAAAGGAAUGGAAAAAAAACCCCAGCAAACCUGUGAGAUAUUUUUGCACAAGUUCCUGCCCUGCAAAAUGGAAAAACAGACUUGAGGGUUGAAACAACUCCAGCUG